rnacentral:pre_miRNA from 1 species
ACCUUUUGUUCUAAGUCAAAGUUUUAGAUUUUGACCAAUUAUAUAGAAAAGAUUAGUAACAUAUAUGACAUCAAAUUGGUAUGUUAUGAAAGUACAUUUUAAAAUGGAUCUAUUGAUACUAAUUUGGUGUCAUAAAUGCUGCUACUUUUUCCUAGAAAGUUGGUCAAAGUUUUAAAACUUUGACUUAGGACAAAAACUA